rnacentral:sRNA from 1 species
GCUGGGUGCGGUGAUGCACACCUGUAAUCCCAGCAGCUUUGGAGGCUGAGGCAGGAGGAUCGAAAGUUCAAAGCCAGCCUAAG